CCAAGUGUAUGAUAAUUGGCGUAGCGAUUGGUGUUAUUGCCAUUGUUAUAAUCAGUGCUGUGAUAUACAGUGUAAUCAUGUAAUGCAGAUAUAGUCAUUCUUUCUUUCUUCUCUUUCAUCUUUUCACACUCCCUCCUGGCUUUCCUUAUCAUUCCCUUCUCUGUCCCUAUUCCUUCGCCCUUCCAUGUAUAAUUUAUUAUUUCCUGCCUCAUCGUUUCUUCGCACCCACCCCUAAUUUUCUUCCUCCGAACCUCCUUCUUCGUUCCUUCUUUUCUUCCACUCUGCUUUCCUCCUUCUUCUGUCCGUCAUUCCCCCUUCUAUCCGUCAUUCACCCUUCCUCUCAUUCCUCCUUCCUUAUCCCCUCUUUCUCCUUGC